rnacentral:rRNA from 1 species
UGGGGAAUCUUCCGCAAUGGACGAAAGUCUGACGGAGCAACGCCGCGUGAGUGAUGACGGUCUUCGGAUUGUAAAGCCCUGUUAAUCGGGACGAAUGGUUUGUGUGCAAAUAGUGCAUAGACAUGACGGUACCGGAAUAGAAAGCCACGGCUAACUACGUGCCAGCAGCCGCGGUAAUACGUAGGUGGCAAGCGUUGUCCGGAAUUAUCGGGCGUAAAGCGCGCGCAGGCGGGCUCUUAAGUCCAUCAUAGAAGUGCGGGGCUUAACCCCGUGGGGGGAAGGAUACUCGGAGACUGGAGUAUCGGAGAGGAAAGUAGAAUUCCUGGUGUAGCGCUGAAAUGCGUAGAUAUUAGGAAGAACACCGGUGGCGAAGGCGACUUGCUGGACGAAAACUGACGCUGAGACGCGAGAGAGUGGGGAGCAAACAGG